ACAAGCGAAGCAUCAAUAUGCCUUUCGCUUACACCGAAAAAAUGGCUUUAAGCCCGCUUGUU
rnacentral:tRNA from 1 species